AUUGAACGCUGGCGGAAUGCUUUACACAUGCAAGUCGAACGGCAGCACGGGGGCAACCCUGGUGGCGAGUGGCGAACGGGUGAGUAAUACAUCGGAACGUGCCCAAUCGUGGGGGAUAACGUAGCGAAAGCUACGCUAAUACCGCAUACGAUCUACGGAUGAAAGCGGGGGAUCGCAAGACCUCGCGCGAAUGGAGCGGCCGAUGGCAGAUUAGGUAGUUGGUGGGGUAAAGGCUCACCAAGCCAACGAUCUGUAGCUGGUCUGAGAGGACGACCAGCCACACUGGGACUGAGACACGGCCCAGACUCCUACGGGAGGCAGCAGUGGGGAAUUUUGGGACAAUGGGCGAAAGCCUGAUCCAGCCAUUCCGCGUGCAGGAUGAAGGCCUUC
rnacentral:rRNA from 1 species